rnacentral:rRNA from 1 species
AGUCGACGGCAGCAUAGGAGCUUGCUCCUGAUGGCGAGUGGCGAACGGGUGAGUAAUAUAUCGGAACGUGCCCUAGAGUGGGGGAUAACUAGUCGAAAGACUAGCUAAUACCGCAUACGAUCUACGGAUGAAAGUGGGGGAUCGCAAGACCUCAUGCUCCUGGAGCGGCCGAUAUCUGAUUAGCUAGUUGGUGGGGUAAAAGCCUACCAAGGCAACGAUCAGUAGCUGGUCUGAGAGGACGACCAGCCACACUGGGACUGAGACACGGCCCAGACUCCUACGGGAGGCAGCAGUGGGGAAUUUUGGACAAUGGGGGCAACCCUGAUCCAGCAAUGCCGCGUGAGUGAAGAAGGCCUUCGGGUUGUAAAGCUCUUUUGUCAGGGAAGAAACGGUAGUAGCGAAUAACUAUUACUAAUGACGGUACCUGAAGAAUAAGCACCGGCUAACUACGUGCCAGCAGCCGCGGUAAUACGUAGGGUGCAAGCGUUAAUCGGAAUUACUGGGCGUAAAGCGUGCGCAGGCGGUUGUGUAAGUCAGAUGUGAAAUCCCCGGGCUCAACCUGGGAAUUGCAUUUGAGACUGCAC